rnacentral:misc_RNA from 1 species
CUGAGCGUGUUAAGCUGAAA